GUCCCUGUAGCGCAAUGGGUAGCGCGCGCGUUGGACUUCUUAUCCAAAGGUCGUGCAUUUGAAUCCCACCUGAGAUG